UUGGGGUUGAGCUGAGGUGAGAGCGAGCCGUAAGGCAUAAGUGGUUGAGCCUUGUUGCCAAGAAAGGUCUCUAAGCAUAACUUUCUAGUGCUCGUACCGCAAACCGACACUGGUAGAUGGGUAGAGUAUACCAAGGCGAACGGGAGAACUCUCGUUAAGGAAUUAGGCAACAUGACCCCGUAACUUCGGGAGAAGGGGUACCCUCCUUUGUGUUAAAGCUUCGGAGGGUCGCAGUGAAAUGGCUCUGGUGACUGGUUAACAAAACCACAGGUCUCUGCUAAGCCGUAAGGCGAUGUAUAGGGGCUGACGCGUGCCCAGUGCCGGAAGGUUAAAGGGAGAGGUUAGCGCAAGCGAAGCUUUGAACUGAAGCCCCGGUGAACGGCGGCCGUAACUAUAACGGUCCUAAGGUAGCGAAAUUCCUUGUCGGGUAAGUUCCGACCCGCACGAACCGCGUAACAAUUAGAGCACUGUCUCGACGAGAGACCCGGUGAAAUUGAAAUGGCUGUGAAGAUGCGGCCUACCCGCAGUAGGACAAAAAGACCCCGUGGAGCUUUACUGCAACUUGGCAUUGUAUUUGGAUAUGAUCUGUGUAGGAUAGGUGGGAGGCUUUGAAGCUGGCGCGCUAGCGUCGGUGGAGCCAAUGGUGAAAUACCACCCUGAUCAUGUUUAGAUCCUAACCCCAUUCCGUCAUCCGGAUGGGGGACCGUGCCAGGUGGGCAGUUUGACUGGGGCGGUCGCCUCCUAAAAGGUAACGGAGGCGCCCAAAGGUUCCCUCAGGUGGAAUGGAAACCCACCAUAGAGUGUAAAGGCAUAAGGGAGCUUGACUGUAAGGCCAACGCGCCGAACAGAGACGAAAGUCGGGCUUAGUGAUCCCACAGUACCGAGUGGAAGGGCUGUGGCUUACCGGAUAAAAGCUACCCCGGGGAUAACAGGCUGGUGAGAUCCAAGAGUUCACAUCGACGAUCUCGCUCGGCACCUCGAUGUCGGCUCAUCGCAUCCUGGGGCUGACAAGGUCCCAAGGGUCGGGCUGUUCGCCCGUUAAAGCGGUACGCGAGCUGGGUUCAGACCGUCGUGAGACAGGUCGGUCUCUAUCCACUGUGGGCGUAAGGGAUUUGAAGGGAGCUGCUCCUAGUACGAGAGGACCGGAGUGGACAGACCUCUAGUGUGCCAGUUGUUCCGCCAGGAGCAUCGCUGGGUAGCCAUGUCUGGCAGAGAUAACCGCUGAAAGCAUCUAGGUGGGAAACUCGCCCUAAGAUUAGAUCCCUGUGACCCGUAAGGGUGUAAGACCCCAGAUAGACUAUCUGGUUAAUAGGCAGCAUGUGUAAGCGCAGUAAUGUGUUAAGCUAAGCUGUACUAAUGGU
rnacentral:rRNA from 1 species